CUGGAGCCAAAGUCAGACGCUUAACUGAGGGAGCCACUCAGGCUCCCCUAAACUGUUAUCACUUUAACCUACUUCUAACCAGCUUCAGAAGAAUUGGUUCAAAGCUAACCUAAUACAGUAUGUCAUUUACAAAAGUGUACAUUGUACAUGGUGUUAUAUCUUAUCCAAAGUACACACAUUUGUUGCUCAAAUACUUACGGCUAUUUGGCCCAUCUUCCCCAGAGAUCAUAAACCACAAUGAUGCCUUGAACAUUGUGUUAGAUGAACCGGCUGUUUGUAAGAAAUCUUUUUUCAAGCGAUACUAUAUCAAAUGAUAUUUCAUGUUUCUACCGUGCAUAUAUUUCUUUGUAAGCUAAUCUACAUCGGUUGUGGAAAUCAAGGCACCCAUUCCCCAGGGAGUUAAUAGAGACACACUGACAAAGUCCAUUGAAAGAUGCAUGACCCUAUAUCUAGAUACCUAUGCGGAUAUCUGUUCUUCAACUCUAUCUUUGUUUUAUUCAGGGUGUCUUGGUGCCACAUAACUCUACAGGUGACACAGUAUACCUAUGGCCUCACCGUGGAACCAGAAGAACAGUGGAUUCGGGAUUACGAGCUAUUUUCUAUAACUGAACUGAUUCUGCCUCUGCUCUUAGGAUAUGACUGAGACAUGCAAACGAGAGCAUCGUCACUGUCAUGAAAAAGCAAUAUGCAGAAAAGAGUGUAUUUUGGUCUUUGGCGAAGGUUACUUCUCAAUUUACACGAAUUAAUUGAAUUUCUAUGUAACCACAAACUUUUUCGCACAUUACUAAAUAUACGUAAUAGAACCAUAUAAUAGCUGCUGUAAAUAUAAUGGGUCAAGAAGAAAUCCAAUGGUAUCAGACCCUUAUUUAAAGGCAUUAAGUGAAAAGAUGUAAUACAUUCAUGGGCACGAAAUAUUAAAGAUGUCAGGUCUUCUAAAAUUGGUACUCACGAUAAUUCCCGUCAAAAUCCUAAUAUCAGUUUUGGAAUUUGGAAGCUAAUCCUAACAUUUAUUUAAAGAGCAAAAUGGUAAGAACAAAUCAAAACAAGACAAAAACAAACCCAAGAAGCUCUCGAUGAGAGGUAGAACCUGAUGUAGUGAUAAAAGACCUGAUACUGGGUGGCAAUGCACAGAGAUGAACACAUUUACCAAUGGAAUUAGAUAGAAAGCCAAGGAUCGCAUCUAAUUUUUUGUUGAACUUUCACAUUAGUAAGGAAACGAUAGGCUGCUCAAAAAAAAUUGAUGAGUGCAGUUGGUUAUGGGUGAUUGUAGGAAGACCCCCUAAGUGUAAAUCUUCUUUUAGAAGAUCAGCUAGGAAAAUAUGAUCUACUAUAGACAAGGACUUCUUAAACAGGAAACAAAAGUACUAACCGCGAAGAAAAGAGUAUUACAUUAUACCCCCUUAGAGGAGGCACUUUCUCUUAAGCUAUUUUGCAACAUCCACGCUUCUAGGCUCUUUCUUCCUUAAUUUGGGAAGGAGAAAAUAUUAGUGAAUGUCAACUUAAAAUGAAAAAGGGGUUGAAAAGUCUGUGCUGAAAUCUGACCUCGAUCUCACCUGAGGUCAGAUUUUUAGCUUCAGACCUUCUUUUCUUCUCUCUUUCCUUCUAGUUCCUAAGUGAGCAUAAUAAAAGUGUUAAGAUACCUUUUCCCA
rnacentral:lncRNA from 1 species